UGGUAGAUGCACCCUGAUCGAACGCUUGGAUUCAGAUUUUUUGACGAAUCCCAGGCGUUUUUUUUU
rnacentral:sRNA from 1 species